rnacentral:rRNA from 1 species
UACGUAGGAGGCGAGCGUUGUCCGGAUUUACUGGGCGUAAAGAACGCGUAGGCGGUUCGUUAAGUUUGGCGUAAAAUCUCCUGGCUCAACUGGGAGGGCGCACCGAAGACUGGCGGACUGGAGGGCAUCAGAGGAAAGCGGAACUCCCGGUGUAGUGGUGAAAUGCGUAGAGAUCGGGAAGAACACCUGUGGCGAAGGCGGCUUUCUGGGGUGUACCUGACGCUGAGGCGUGAAAGCGUGGGGGAGCGAACCGG